CCUACGGGAGGCUGCAGUGGGGAAUAUUGGGCAAUGGGCGCAAGCCUGACCCAGCAACGCCGCGUGAAGGAAGAAGGCUUUCGGGUUGUAAACUUCUUUUCUCAGGGACGAAGAAAGUGACGGUACCUGAGGAAUAAGCCACGGCUAACUACGUGCCAGCAGCCGCGGUAAUACGUAGGUGGCAAGCGUUAUCCGGAUUUAUUGGGUGUAAAGGGCGUGUAGGCGGGACCGCAAGUCAGAUGUGAAAACUCAGGGCUCAACCUUGGGCCUGCAUUUGAAACUGUGGUUCUUGAGUGCUGGAGAGGCAGUCGGAAUUCCGAGUGUAGCGGUGAAAUGCGUAGAUAUACGGAGGAACACCAGUGGCGAAGGCGGUUUGCUGGACAGCAACUGACGCUGAGGCGCGAAAGCGUGGGGAGCAAACAGGAUUAGAUACCCCGGUAGUC
rnacentral:rRNA from 1 species